rnacentral:sRNA from 1 species
AAGGUUCGAUUCGAGCGCAGCGAGAAAGCGUUGCCGCAGGCAACGACCCGAAGGGCGAAGCGCGCAGCGAGAAAGCGUUGCCGCAGGCAACGACCCGAAGGGCGAAGCGCGCAGCGCUGAGUCAUCCUUCCCCCACCACCA